rnacentral:RNase_P_RNA from 1 species
CUAAUAAGACGAGCAAUCGCUCUUUAUUUAAUGAAGAGAGGAAAGUCCGAACCCCCUCCCGCCUAUGGCGGGAUAAAAUAAUAGCGGCUAACAGCCGUCUCCGCCAACAGCUACGCAGUUGCGGGCGGACGAGGUGCGAACAGAAACGGCUUGGACCGAAAGGUUCAGCAUCCCUUCAUGGGAUAAUUUUACAGCAAUGUAAAAAUGAAACGGCUAAAUCCUUAUUGGGCGCAAGAACAAACCCUUCGACAAGCUCAGGGUAAAGCCUGGAAAAUUCAUUUAUGAAUUUUAAAGCUUGAUGAGGGAGCAAAGUAGUUCGCCAGAGCUUAGGAGUAAUUCUAAGCCAAGACAGAUGGUUGCAUAAAACAGAAUUCGGCUUACGGUCUUAUUAGGACA